rnacentral:misc_RNA from 1 species
GGAGAAUCAAAGAAAAAUUUGGUAAGUAUAGACAUCUAAUAAAUUCUGUGAGUGAUACUGUCUGUGCUACUUAUGAGAUUUUUUUCUGUUUGCCCACUUUCCCAAUCUCUACGUCAGAUUUUUUAUUUUUGAAUGAAUUAAAUAUCAUUAAGUUCUGGAUUGUUUUAUCUUCAAUCAGUUAGAUGUCUGGUUAGAUACACAAUAAUUUCCUUGUUUAAUUGUUUGAGUAUCCGAACUGUUCAAACAUCUUGGUCAGUAAUUCUCAAUGUCAAAAUUGGUGCUUUUAUCCUACAGUUUUAAAUUGACGCAGGAAUGUAAUAACUAACCGAAUUUUUGGACUUCCUCUUCACUUCGUAGUUUGGACCUUUGUUUAACUGUUUAUUUCAGUUUUAAUAUUUGAUUAUCAAAAUGUGGACUUUCUGAACUUUGUCUGGGUGAGCAUUGUAGAUCAACUCAGCUUUCUUGUUGAAUAUUUAUGUGCUAGGAAAUAGAAAAUGGUCUUUUCUUGAGACCAUUUCCUUUAUGAAAUGAAAUUCUCUUUCGAUUGCUGUUGUAGAUUUUUUCCACAGUUCUAGGAUUGGGCCCUUCUUGAUUGCCAGACAUUUGAGUUUCAAUUCCUAGGUAAGAGGGGUGAAGAGGUCAAAAUACACUAAACACAGUAAAUAUUAUAAUUAUAGAACAGAAAUGCAAACAUGCUAAUGUUUAAUUUCUGUCUCGGUACAGUGGUGUAUUUCAUGAUGCUGAUACCUAGUAAUAAAUAGGUACAGCUUUGUGGUUAGCUUUUAAUGAUGUGUUUCCCUGGUGUUCUUUUUCCCCAUCACAAUAGGUAUAUUUCCUACAUGAGUUUUG